UAAAUCAAUUGCAAUUGGCUUAACUCAAACGAUCGGCACGAUGUACAAAAACAACUUACAUAAAAAAAUAGACACAAAGCACUGGAAUAAGAGUACUCGUAUUACUGAAAGCUAGUUCAAAGUCAAUUACAACUAAUAAAUAAAUCAUGUACACACUUAUAAUCCUGGUUUCUUUAAUGACUUUUGUUUCUCUAUCAAUCAGAUCAUUGACUAGUUCUGAAGAUAAUACGCAAAAAGAAAACAUAAAAACUGAAAUACAACAAGGAAUUAUGAAUAGAUCGACUCGAACGGUAGACAAUGCGGAUUACUUUGAUACAACAAAGUAUCUACGUAAACAGCAAACCAAUGUCAAUCCAGAAUCUUCAAUAAAUAAUGACCAGAUAGGAUCGUACAUAAAUCCGGCAUUUAACAAAGACGAAAAUCAAGAAGUAGAUGCAGUUUUUUCUCCAUUUCGACCAUUAGACAAACUUCAAGAUGGUGGAGAAAGAAAUCAAAAUAGUGAUACACAGUCCGAAAACGGUUACAGAAAUGUCGGAAGUACCAAUCAAUCCGAAAUAUAGAAAGGAGACAUUAUUCAUUGAACAUCAAUAUUGAUCAGAUAUGUAAUUAUUUUUAUAUGUUAGUUUAUCAUAAAUAACCAGUGUAAAUGAGUUAUAAUAUUAUUAUGCUAAUCUGCAAUACAUGAAAUCAUUAAUAUAUUCUAAGUACUAAUCAGUACACUAACAUAUAUGGAAAGAGUGAAAUACGUAUCAUAGGUCAUUGAAGGACUGACAUGUAACACAAGCACGUAAAGAAAGAUAAGGUAAAAUGGCAAAUAAUAUAAUUCCAAAUACCACGCAUGAACAUUUAGAUGGAGUCACACCAGAUCCGACAGAUCAAGAAGAGAACUCAAUUAUAUGCGAAAAGAAUAGUUCCAACUUAGCACCAGUCGACUUGCAUGUGACUUACAAAUACCGGAAUUCUUUUUUUUUUUGGUGAAAGUUAUUUACUUAAAUAUGCAGACUGGAUUGUGUAAAUAUUUUACUAAAAAUCGUAAAAACAUAAGCUUAAAUUUAUCAUUCAAGUGUUUAAAAUAAAUUUAAUGUUGAAUGUAUAUAAGUUAUAGUUUUUAUAUUUUUGGGGUAUGAUUAUCAUAAAUGUAUUUAAUACCAUACUGCUUAAGUCAUUUUCUGUAUCCAAAAAAAUAAUUCUCAGAUAUAACUAAUUGCACAUGAAUUCGCAUUGCUUUGCUUUCCGAUGAGCACCAACUACUGAAAGAAUUAGUUUGAUGUACCACAAAAUUUACAAUCGAGAUAUUUAUUUCAAGUUCAGGGUUAAAUUUCAGAGUUGUAAAAGAUCACAGAAAAUAUGUCUUAAAACAGAAUCCAUCGAAAACCGAAACACAGAAAAAUUUACAAAAAUAAUCUUGUGACGUCCUUGAAAUAUAAUUCUAUUCUAGCCAACUAUACAAUAAAUGCAUUUUUCAAGUUUAAAGUUUAACCUUUUACAAGAUAAGCCUGUCAAAUAUAAUUGGCGUAUUUUUGUAGGACAUGUUGCAGUAUUGAUGAUGACUCACGUUUCAAAGCAUAUAACUUUUGUCAAAAGUUUGUAUAUUUACUUCCACAUGUUGUAUAUUUACCUAUAUACAUGUUCGAUGAAAUAUUUAACACGUUUAAUAAAAAAGUAACUACUUAU